rnacentral:rRNA from 1 species
UACGUAGGGACCAAGCGUUGUUCGGAUUUACUGGGCGUAAAGGGCGCGUAGGCGGCGCGGUAAGUCACUUGUGAAAUCUCUGAGCUUAACUCAGAACGGCCAAGUGAUACUGCAGUGCUAGAGUGUGGAAGGGGCAAUCGGAAUUCUUGGUGUAGCGGUGAAAUGCGUAGAUAUCAGGAGGAACACCUAUGGCGAAGGCAGCUCGCUGGGACGGUACUGACGCUGAGGCGCGAAAGCGUGGGGAGCGAACAGG